rnacentral:sRNA from 1 species
UUCGCUUGUGGUGGUGGAUGUAAAUAAACGGUGGAGCGGCUGCAAAAGAGCCGUCUCGCUGGGUAAAAUCAGGAUAUGCCGCUGAACCCGCUCCUCAGCUAGUCACACUUCGGAAGCGCGGGCAACGCAGGUGCUAUCGUCUAAGGGGCCGGCUGAAACCGGCCC